rnacentral:lncRNA from 1 species
UCCCAAGCCUCUCCUCUUUCCUCCUCGACCACCGGAGUCCUCGCCCCCUCCUCGCCAUUGCCUUCUCGGUCAUUGCCAGAGUCAAGCUGCCCCGGCCAAGCCGAGCCUCCUCUAGCCUCCCCUCCACGUCCACUGCCUCCCCCUCUUCCCGCUGAGCCGCCCCACCCACUUCCCGCCUCGCUGGAGCGGCCGCAUCACCAAAGAACCCCGUCGCCUGAAGCUUCCUGUACUCUCCAUGGCGCCACCCUCCUCUCCUCCCCGCGCCUCCCCGGAGGCCGUACUCCCUCUGGAUGGGUGCGGUUGGCCGCUGUGGUCCCGUCGGUGCCCUCGGCCGGGCUGGAGACGGCCCAAGCAGGUCGGCCCCCUCGCCGCCCCUCCCCUGCUCUGCCUCUGCUUCACGCGAGGAACAGGGCGAGGGGGAGGAAGGGGACGAGCACCCAUGCCCUCCUCCCCCUGCGCCUGGGACCGACGCGCCGGUGCCCCAGCACCUUGCCAUGUGGAUAAGUGGAGGCACGUUUCCCUCUUGGCGCUUUUCUCUUCUGAAAGCAUGUUCCCCGAAAUACGUUUUCCCUUUGAGGAAACGUACUUUUGUUGUUCUUCGGCUAAAAAUACGUUUUUUUUGCAGAAGGCGUAAUCUGCCCGAAGGCGCUUUCAGUUUUUCCUCCAAGGACCUGUUUGUUGAAGUUUUAUUCACAGAUUGGUCCCUGGUGUUCAACACCUCAUAACUCCGCAACCGUAACUCUGAUUGAGGUGAAUCCAACGCCCACUUCUUCGUCUCGUCAAACCCGUUCUUUCAUAACCAUUUUCACUAUGUUUCAACAUUCUAGAAAUGACCAUUUUGCCCUUGCCCCUAAUCAGCCCCCUCCGAGAGAGAACCCAUUUCGGCGAUUCUUUCCGCGGCUUCACCGCACUUCUCCCCGGAGCCUCCUUCAUCCCCAGGAAAGACACAACCACCAUUUGCAUGAUAGCCAUGCAGAAGCAUGGGUUUUCAACUUGAAUCUUUAAUAACUUUUUGUUUGCUUUGCUGCUGAUGUCGGUAUUUCGGUUAUGCUUAUGGAUCGGUGUUUACCGGCAUGCUAUGUUUUCAUCCAUGCUGUUAUUAUGUUAUUCAUGCUAGUAUUACUUUAAUAUUGGCAAUGUUUGGUAGUAGUAAAUGUUGGUGAUGGUCUUCGGUGCCUGACGAUUGUCUGUUCCGAGUACCGGUUUUAUGCCUGUUCCUUUGCAUCCAGUUGACUAAAUACUUGCAUGGUAGUUUUAUCGUUAUGUUAUUGCAUGGUAUUUAUUGUUGAUGCUAAUGGUCAUGUUAUGCUAUGAGUAGUAUUCUAGUUGUGAUAUCUAUGCUCGUCAGUAUGCCAUGCUCAUCUCAAUAAAUGGUUAAAUGUCGUUGUUAUGCUUGUUGAUUGGGAUGCACCCCCAUGCUUAUGUUAAUAUCAUGUUCAUGCAUUGUAGUUGCAUCAGGUUAUUUUUAUCAUGACUCGGCAUUUUGCAUUCAAGAUUAACCGGAUUAAAUUGAACUUGAACAACUGUUGGCUGAGUCAUGCUGCCAUGAUACGUCUCCAACGUAUCUAUAAUUUUUGAUUUUCCAUGCUAUAUUAUAUUUUGUUUUGGAUGAUUAAUGGGCUUUGUUAUACAAUUUUAUAUUAUUUUUGGGACUAACCUAUUAACCGGAGGCCCAGCCCAAGUAGCAGUUUUUUGCCUAUUUCAGUGUUUCGUUUAGAUAGCAUUAGCCGCUUUUCUUCCUUUCCAGAAAAAAUAUAUCAAACGGAGUCCAAACGGAAUGAAACCUUCGGGAACGUGAUUUCUGGAACAAACAUGAUCCAGAGGACUUGGAGUGGAUGUCAAGCAACACACGAGGCGGCCACGAGGUAGGGGGCACGCCCCCCAGGCGCGCCCUCCACCCUCGUGGGCCCCUCGUGGCUCCACCGACCUACUUCUUCCUCCUAUAUAUACCUACGUACCCCGAAACCAUCAGAGGCAUCCAUGAAAACCUAAUUCCACCGCCGCAACCUUCUGUACCCGUGAGAUCCCAUCUCGGGGCCCUUUCCGGAGUCCUGCCGGAGGGGCCAUUGAUCACGGAGGGCUUCUACAUCAACACCAUAGCCUCUCCGAUGAUGUGUGAGUAGUUUACCUCAGACCUUCGGGUCCAUAGUUAUUAGCUAGAUGGCUUCUUCUCUCUCUUUGGAUCUCAAUACAAAGUUCUCCUCGAUUCUCUUGAAGAUCUAUUUGAUGUAACUCUUCUUUUUGCGGUGUGUUUGUCGAGACCAAUGAAUUGUGGGUUUAUGAUCAAGAUUAUCUAUGAACAAUAUUUGAAUCUCCUCUAAAUUCUUUUAUGUAUGAUUGGUUAUCUUUGCAAGUCUCUUCGAAUUACCAGUUUGGUUUGGCCUACUAGAUUGAUCUUUCUUGCAAUGGGAGAAGUGCUUAGCUUUGGGUUCAAUCUUGCGGUGCUCGAUCCCAGUGACAGAAAGGGAAACGACGCGUAUUGUAUUGUUGCCAUCGAGGAUAAAAAGAUGGGGUUUAUAUCAUAUUGCAUGACUUUAUCCCUCUACAUCAUGUCAUCUUACUUAAAGCAUUACUCUGUUCUUAUGAACUUAAUACUCUAGAUGCAUGCUGGAUAGCGGUCGAUGUGUGGACUAAUAGUAGUAGAUGCAGAAUCGUUUCGGUCUACUUGUCGCCGACGUGAUGCCUAUAUACAUGAUCAUACCUAGAUAUUCUCAUAACUAUGCUCAAUUCUAUCAAUUGCUCGACAGUAAUUUGUUCACCCACCGUAAUACUUAUGCUAUCUUGAGAGAAGCCACUAGUGAAACCUAUGGCCCCGGGUCUAUUUUCCAUUAUAUUAAUCUUUCCUCACUUAGCUAUUUCUGGCGCCGUUUAUUUUUCUUUCAUUACUUUGCAUCUUUAUCAUUAAAAUACCUAAAAUAUUAUCUUACCAUAUCUAUCAGAUCUCACUCUCAUAAGUGACCGUGAAGGGAUUGACAACCCUUUUAUUAUGUUGGUUGCGAGGUUCUUAUUUGUUUGUGUAGGUACGAGGGACUUGUGCGUGGUCUCCUACUGGAUUGAUACCUUGGUUCUCAAAAACUGAGGGAAAUACUUACGCUACUUUACUGCAUCACCCUUUCCUCUUCAAGGGAAAACCAACGCAGUGCUCAAGAGGUAGCAAGAAGGAUUUCUGGCGCCGUUGCCGGGGAGAUCUACACGAAAGUCAACAUACCAAGUACCCAUCACAAACUCUUAUCCCCCGCAUUACAUUAUUUGCCAUUUGCCUCUCGUUUUCCUCUCCCCCACUUCACCCUUGUUGUUUUAUUCGCCCUCUCUUUUCCGUUCGCCUCCCUCUUUCACUUGCUCCUCGCAUUUUCUGCCGUUAUGUCUGAAAUUGGGGAAAUUAUUAUCGAUAUGGACAAUAAUAAUAACAUGGAAAAUUCUGAUGCUCCUGCUGAAGAACCCCCUAUCUUACAUACAAAAAAAUUCCGAAUCAGUAGUGGUAAUAUUAUUGGAAAAGGGGUUAUUCAAGAUUUCUUUACUUGUGCCGGUGCUUUGCCUUCUAUGGGUAGUUCUAUUCUCCAUAGAACUAGUAGUCUUGCGGACGCUAUCUCCAUGCUUAUAGUUGAACUUGAAAGGCAAUUUAUGCACAUGCAUCCUUGCAUACAAAGGAUUUUUCUAGAAUUUUCUAAUAUUGAGCAUUCUUCUUUAAAGCGCGCCGCUACUAUCUUUUUGGCACAUGAAUUCAGAUUUAUAAUAAAAGAGGCCAAAGAAAUCUUUGCGCACUGUAGGGUGGACGCUGGUCGUCCUCCCAUAGAGGCAAUCCACUUUGAUCAAGAGGAAAUAAUGUGUUUUCAAUCUUUAGACUAUGUUGCUUUUAAUGAAAACCUUAGAAAAAAGGUUCCUACCAAUGUUCUAGUUGAUAGAAUUUCUGAACUUAAUAAUGAUUUUGCUAUCCGAAAUAAUGAGCUAGGAUAUUCUCUCGAAUAUAGGCUCACGAAGUUCUGCCAAAAGAAUGCUUAUAAUGAUGAAUUGGUUGUGCCAUAUGAAGGGCCGAAGGAGGAACCUAUACCUCCCAAAAUUGAUCUUGGGGACUUCUGUCCCAUUAAAUUUAGACCUUUUGAUUACUUUUGCUUGCCUCAAAGAAAACUACCUGCUGAACGUAGAGAAUAUGAAAUGAGUUUUCGUGAUCUAUCCUAUUAUUAUGGCAAUACCUAGAUCUAUCCUUGCUUUUAUGCCUAGCUAGGGCGUUAAACGAUAGCGCUUGUUGGGAGGCAACCCAAUUUUAUUUUAGUUUUUUUUGCUUUUUGCUUCUGUUUAGGAUUAAAUCUUUGAUCUAGCCUCUGGUUAGAUUUGUUUUUAUGUUUUAAUUAGUGUUUGUGCCAAGUUAAACCUAUAGGAUCUUCUUGGAUGAUAGUUAUUUGAUCUUGCUGAAAAUUCCAGAAACUUUCUGUUCACGAAAACAAUUAUUAAAAAUCACCAGAACGUGAUAAAAUAUUUAUUCCAAUUGCAGCAGAUCAAUAAACAAAUGUUUUAGGUAUUCCUAUUUUGGUAGAUUUUUUUAGUUUCAGAAGUUUGCGUUAGUUACAGAUUACUACAGACUGUUCUGUUUUUGACAGAUUCUGUUUUUCGUGUGUUGUUUGCUUAUUUUGAUGAAUCUAUGGCUAGUAAAAUAGUUUAUAAACCAUACAGAAGUUGGAAUACAGUAGGUUAACACCAAUAUAAAUAAAGAAUGAGUUCGUUACAGUACCUUGAAGUGGUGUUUUGUUUUCUUUCGCUAACGGAGCUUACGAGAUUUUCUGUUGAGUUUUGUGUUGUGAAGUUUUCAAGUUUUGGGUAAAAGAUUUGAUGGAUUAUGGAACAAGGAGUGGCAAGAGCCUAAGGUUGGGGAUGCCCAUGGCACCCCAAGGUAAUCUAAGGACACCAAAAAGCCAAAGCUUGGGGAUGCCCCGGAAGGCAUCCCCUCUUUCGUCUUCGUCCAUCGGUAACUUUACUUGGAGCUAUAUUUUUAUUCACCACAUGUUAAGUGUUUUGCUUGGAGCGUCUUGUAUGAUUUGAGCCUUUGCUUUUUAGUUUACCACAUUCAUCCUUGCUGUACACACCUUUUGAGAGAGACACACAUGAUUCGGAAUUUAUUAGAAUACUCUAUGUGCUUCACUUAUAUCUUUUGAGUUAUAUAGUUUUUGCUCUAGUGCUUCACUUACAUCUUUUAGAGCAUGGUGGUGGUUUUGUUUUAUAGAAAUUAUUGUUCUCUCAUGCUUCACUUAUACUAUUUUGAGAGUCCUACAAAACAGCAUGGUAAUUUGCUUAAAUUGGGAAAUUAGUCCUAAUAUGCUAGGUAUUCAAGAUUAGUAAAAACUUUCUUAUGCCUGUGUUGAAUACUAAGAAAAGUUUGAUGCUUGAUGAUUGUUUUGAGAUAUGGAGGUAGUGAUAUUAAAGUUGUGCUAGUUGAGUAGUUGUGAAUUUGAGAAAUACUUGUGUUAAAGUUGGCAAGUCCCGUAGCAUGCACGUAUGGUAAACGUUAUGUAACAAAUUUGAAACAUGAGGUGUUCUUUGAUUGUCCUCCUUAUGAGUGGCGGUCGGGGACGAGCGAUGGUCUUUUCCUACCAAUCUAUCCCCCUAGGAGCAUGCGCGUAGUGCUUGGUUUUUGAUGACUUGUAGAUUUUUGGAAUAAGUAUGUGAGUUCUUUAUGACUAAUGUUGAGUCCAUGGAUUAUACGCACUCUUAUCCUUCCAUCAUUGCUAGCCUCUUCGGUACCGUGCAUUGCCCUUUCUCACCUUGAGAGUUGGUGCAAACUUCGCCGGUGCAUCCAAACCCCGUGAUACAAUGCGCUCUAUCACACAUAAACCUCCUUAUAUCUUCCUCAAAACAGCCACCAUACCUACCUAUCAUGGCAUUUCCAUAGCCAUUCCGAGAUAUAUUGCCAUGCAACUUUCCACCGUUCCGUUUAUCAUGACACGUUUCAUCAUUGUCAUAUUGCCUUGGAUGAUCAUGUAGUUGACAUCAUAUUUGUGGGAAAGCCAACAUUCAUAAUUUUUCAUACAUGUCACUCUUGAUUCGUUGCCCAUCCCGGUACACCGCCGGAGGCAUUCAUAUAGAGUCAUACUUUGUUCUAGUAUCGAGUUGUAAUCAUUGAGAUGUAAAUAAAUAGAAGUGUGAUGAUCAUCAUUCAUAGAGCAUUGUCCCAACAAAAAAAGGCCAAAUAAAAAAAGGCCCAAUAUAUAUAUAUAUAUAUAUAUAUAAAGGGUCAAUGCUACUAUCCUUUUCCCACACUUGUCCUUCAAAGUAGCACCAUGAUCUUCCUGAUAGAGAGUCUCUUGUUUUGUCACUUUCAUAUACUAGUGGGAAUUUUUCAUUAUAGAACUUGGCUUGUAUAUUCCAACAAUGGGCUCCCUCAAAUGCACUAGGUCUUCGUGAGCAAGCAAGUUGGAUGCACACCCACUUAGUUUCUUUUCGUUGAGCUUUCAUGCAUUUAUAGCUCUAGUGCAUCCGUUGCAUGGCAAUCCCUACUCCUUGCAUUAACAUCAAUCAUUGGGCAUCUCCCUAGCCCGUUGAUUAGCCGCGUUAAUGUGAGACUUUCUCCUUUUUUGUCUUCUCCACAUACCCCCCAAUAUUAUAUUUUAUUCCACCCAUAGUGCUAUAUCCAUGGCUCACGCUCAUGUAUUGCGUGAAGGUUGAAAAAGUUUGAGAUUACUAAAGUAUGAAACAAUUGCUUGGCUUAUCACCAGGGUUGUGCAUGAUGAGAGCAUUCUUGUGUGACGAAAAUGGAGCAUGACCAAACCAUAUGAUUUUGUAGGGAUGAACUUUCUUUGGCCAUGUUAUUUUUAGAAGACAUAAUUGCUUAGUUAGUAUGCUUGAAGUAUUAUUAUUUUUAUGUCAAUAUUAAACUUUUAUCUGGAAUCUUUCGGAUCUGAAUAUUCAUACCACAAUUAAGAGGGUUACAUUGAAAAUUAUGCCAAGUAGCAUUCCACAUAAAAAAUUUUGUUUUUAUCAUUUACCUACUCGAGGACGAGCAGGAAUUAAGCUUGGGGAUGCUUGAUACAUCUCCAACGUAUCUAUAAUUUUUUAUUGUUCCAUGCUAUAUUAUAUUCUGUUUUGGAUGAUUAAUGGGCUUUGUUAUACACUUUUAUAUUAUUUUUGGGACUAACCUAUUAACCGGAGGCCCAGCCAAAAUUGCUGUUUUUUACCUAUUUCAGUGUUUCGGGGAAAAAGAAUAUCAAACGGAGUCCAAACGGAAAGAAACUUUCGGGAACGUGAUUUGUGGAACAAACGUGAUCCAGAGGACUUGGAGUGGACGUCAAGCAACAGACAAGGCGGCCACGAGGUAGGGGGCGCCCCCCAAGGCGCGCCCUCCACCCUCGUGGGCCCCUCAUGGCUCCACUGACCUACUUCUUCCUCCUAUAUAUACCUACGUACCCCCAAACCAUCAGAGGCAUCCACGAAAACCUAAUUCCACCGCCGCAACCUUCUGUACCCGUGAGAUCCCAUCUUGGGGCCUUUUCCGGCGUCCUGCCGGAGGGGGCAUUGAUCACGGAGGGCUUCUACAUCAACACCGUAGCCUCUCUGAUGAUGUGUGAGUAGUUUACCCCAGACCUUCGGGUCCAUAGUUAUUAGCUAGAUGGCUUCCUCUCUCUCUUUGGAUAUUAAUACAAAGUUCUCCUCGAUUCUCUUGGAGAUCUAUUUGAUGUAACUCUUCUUUUUGUCUUGUGUUUGUCGAGACCGAUGAAUUGUGGGUUUAUGAUCAAGAUUAUCUAUGAACAAUAUUUGAAUCUCCUCUGAAUUCUUUUAUGUAUGAUUGGUUAUCUUUGCAAGUCUCUUCGAAUUAUCAGUUUGGUUUGGCCUACUAGAUUGAUCUUUCUUGCAAUGGGAGAAGUGCUUAGCUUUGGGUUCAAUCUUGCGGUGCUCGAUCCCAGUGACAGAAAGGGAAACGACACGUAUUGUAUUGUUACCAUCGAGGAUAAAAAGAUGGGGUUUAUAUCAUAUUGCAUGAGUUUAUCCCUCUACAUCAUGUCAUCUUACUUAAAGCAUUACUCUGUUCUUAUGAACUUAAUACUCUAGAUGCAUGCUGGAUAGCGGUCGAUGUGUGGACUAAUAGUAGUAGAUGCAGAAUCAUUUCGGUCUACUUGUCGCGGACGUGAUGCCUAUAUACAUGAUCAUACCUAGAUAUUCUCAUAACUAUGCUCAAUUCUAUCAAUUGCUCAGCCGUAAUUUUUUUACCCACCGUAAUACUUAUGCUAUCUAGAGAGAAGCCACUAGUGAAACCUAUGCCCCCCGGGUCUAUUUUCCAUUAUAUUAAUCUUUCAUCACUUAGAUAUUUCUGGCGCGGUUUAUUUUGCUUUCUUUACUUUGCAUCUUUAUCAUAAAAAUACCAAAAAUAUUAUCUUAUCAUAUCUAUCAGAUCUCACUCUCGUAAGUGACCGUGAAGGGAUUGACAACCCCUUUAUUGCGUUGGUUGCGAGGUUCUUAUUUGUUUGUGUAGGUACGAGGGACUUGUGCGUGGUCUCCUACUGGAUUGAUACCUUGGUUCUAAAAAACCGAGGGAAAUACUUACGCUACUUUACUGCAUCACCCUUUCCUCUUCAAGGGAAAACCAACGCAGUGCUCAAGAGGUAGCAUGCCACCAUAUCGAGCUGACCAGUGCAACCACGCUUACCUCAUGGGGGGGGGUCCUAACUGGGUCUAUUGUCAUGCCUCUCGCCGGUGCCUCCCGCGAGGGAAGGUUAUGCGCGGGCACUACCUUGGCCGGGUAGGACGGCAUAAGCCUUGUGUGCCCGUUGUUUUUGUAAGGAUCCUUGUCCCCGUUUGGGACCAUUUUGCCACGAUGGUGGCCGUUGGUGCCUUUGGUAGGCAUGGGGCCACCCAGGACUUAGCCCAAAGGGGAGUUGGUCGGAGUGGCCGGGAGAGUGUCAUGGCAGUAGGACGGUUUUGUCGGAACACCAUUGGUCUACCUGAAUGGGAGUGCGAGGCCGUGGGUUCCGUGGUGUGGGUACAGUGUGCUAACCUCUGCAGAGUGUGUCUGUGUGUGUUAAAUCUAUCGAUAGCCGCGCCCGCGGAUAUGGGCCCAGUUCACGUCGGUCACACUGUGGGUCAACAGUAAUAAUAAUGAUGUGCUUAAUAACAACCCUGGUUCGAUGAUGAAAGGAGUUGGUUGAUAUUUAUGUGAUCGAGAGAGGAUCACUGUGGUAUCGUGAUUACCAACUUGUUUGAUAUUUGAGAUGUUAUUCGAAGGUCAAGGGUAAAGUUCAAGCUCCUUGUGGUCAUAAAUGAUUACUAUGGUAUUGUUAAUACCAAGCUUGAUUUGAUCCUGAGAUGAUCGUGUGAUGUCCAUGGUGGUAAGUGAUGCAAGUGAUGGUUACGAGGUAACCCGAGCAGAGUAAGUUGGUGCAUGAUAGUUUCAUCAUGUUGCAUGCUAGUCUCAUCAUGUUUAUAUGUUUAUGCCAUGCUCGUAUUGUUCUAGCUGUAUCAUGUUGUACAUGCCAUGUUGUUCUGAUAGUAUCGUGUUCAUCAUUGAUUAAUAAUCUGUAAUUGCCAUUGUAUUGUUUGUCUUGAUUGCUUUGGUUGCUGUGAGCUUGCAAGUACAUUCAAUGUACUGACCUGGCGUGUCAUGCCAGUCUGCAGGUCAUGCCAGAUUUGAUUGCUUGUUUGCCGUGGAUUCCUUGUUUGCGAGCUAGGAUAAGCGUUCCAGCCAGAGUCCCUGUGGAGUGGAGUUCACCACCGCUGAUGUUGUUCCGCUACCAGGAGUUAUUCCGCUGCAUCGUGUUGUUCGGCUGCUUGCAUGGAGCAACCGUGGCAGGCGUAGUGUCGCCGUGCCGAUGUAAUCCCCUUGUACCCAAUAUAGCUUGCAAUAAAGAGCUGAUUUGUUCUAUGCUAAGCAGUGUCGUAUUCCAGAAGACUUCUCCUCGAUCUUUGGGCUGGAAUACGGGGUGUUCCAGUUUCUCUGAGCCGGCGUGCCACAGGCUUGGUAUCAGAGCAGGUCUGGCUGUAGGAUGCCCUAGCCCACGCGAACGUUAGAAUGCGGUAGUAUAGAGCCCCGUUGGUUUGUUGCAGUUGAGUGCUGCAUUUGUUUGUUGCAUAGCAUGCAUAUAGAUUAUUAUCUUGUCGCUAAUGGUUAAUCUUGUGAGAGUAGGUGGCAUCGUUUUCGAUCCACUACCUGCGCCCUCUUUCUUUGCAUGCCUACUCUUCGGUGUUCGGCGUUAUCUCUGUCCCAGCAGAGUGAUGCCCUGGUACCGAGUGUUCCAGACACCCUUUGCAGGAGUUAUGCUCAGGUAUUGCGUCGAUAUCUUUUCCUCCAUCCACCCAAAUCAUUUUGGUGAUAGACGUGUCUUUAUCCUGAAUCGUGCCUUCCAUCUCGUUCCUUUGGCAAACCUUACUGAUCUUUGUUAUCAGAAGAGGGCAAUGCCAGCAAGCCUUGUUUUUCCUCCCCUAGUUUGCCCUAUCAUCUCAUUCUUUGGACGUGUACAAUUCCCUUUCAUAUGCUUGAUGAUGAUGUGGUCGUGACUUCCGUGUCUCGCUACAUGAUCAGCAAGUCCGUCCUCGCCUCCAUAUCUAUCCAGAUCCAGCCGGUGUUCAGCCAUCGCUUGGUGUAGCGUUGGUUACGCCAACUCUUUCCACACACAGACUCACUUUCGUGCACACCGCCACAGCAUAUUAGACCGUAGUACCAGAGCUUCAGAGACUAUUGUGUUCUUAGGUGUGCAUGCAUAUUAUUGUAUGAGUAGCAGUAAUAUGUGCUGAUUGCUUUAUAUUAUUAGUAUGCUUGUGUGCUUUUGUUUUCGUCGUUUGUUUUUUUCUUUCUUUGGGCCUUCGGUGUUACAAAUUUUCCCCUUAUUAAAGUUGCUCUUCAACCGACACCGGACCUGAAGAGUCAGCAAGGAAUGCAUAUAUUUGGAAACUCAGCUAAACAGAAUGGAACUAUCAUCAGACUGCAGUGAAAUUGGAAUAUCUUGUCUGAAUGCAAAAGAAAUCCUGGAUGGACUGUCAGUAUCAAGUUUGCAUCAGUAUGGAAUUCUCAGCUGACUGCAUUGAGAUCUAGGGGUAUCUGAUCGUGAUACGGAUAAUCAGGUUUGCCUCAGUGUGCACACUUCAUAGUAGAAAUGAUCAAGAAGAUAAGCUAUGUGCAAGAUUGACAGUAUAUGGCAGUACAUCUCAAGAAUCAGAUCUGCAACAGUUCAGUCAAAAACAAGUCUGCCUCGGGAAUCAGAUUUUCAUAUAUAAGCGGUCAGCAUACCACCAAGGUCUUGCAAGUCACUCGAAAGCAGAUUUGACAGGCACAGGAGGAUUGUUAAAAGAAGGAAGCCAACUAUACACCACAGUGUGACAAAGGAAUGAGCUCAGUACAAGUACCUAUGAACCUGGAAGAUGAUCCUGAUGAGCCCUUGUCUUCUUUCUGCAGUAACGGCACUAUGCCUGUGAUCUGAGCCAUUUUUCGCUAUCCGGGGUGGAUGCCGAUUUUUAUUUCUCUCUCCAACGACUGUCAUGAGUUCUGAGCUGCUUUUCGGCCGUCUCAUACAGCUGUUGAGUUUCUUUUUGUGACAGUAGCCCUAUAGCUGCUUUUGGCUAUUUUAGGGAGCUGCCACUUUCUUCUUAUCGCCCAGUCUCAUGUUCUGAGUUGCUUUUCGGCCGUCCUGAGCCGUGGUUGAGUUAUCUCAGUUGUCCCAGAUCUGAGUUGUAAAGACCGUUCUGGUGGCUACUGAUUUAUUUGUCGAUUUCUUGCAAGGGUUCAUAUGAUCAUUUUCCUACGGUCAGAACUUGAGAGGUGAUUGAAGGAAAUAUGCCCUAGAGGCAAUAAUAAAGUAUAAUAUAUUUCCUUAUAUCAUGAUAAAUGUUUAUUAUUCAUGCUAGAAUUGUAUUAACCGGAAACAUAAUACAUGUGUGAAUACAUAGACAAACAGAGUGUCACUAGUAUGCCUCUACUUGACUAGCUCGUUAAUCAAAGAUGGUUAUGUUUCCUAGCCAUAGACAUGAGUUGUCAUUUUAUUAACGAGAUCACCUCAUUAGGAGAAUGAUGUGAUUGACUUGACCCAUUCCGUUAGCUUAGCACCCGAUCGUUUAGUAUGUUGCUAUUGCUUUCUUCAUGACUUAUACAUGUUCCUUUGACUAUGAGAUUAUGCAACUCCCGUUUACCAGAGGAACACUUUAUGUGCUACCAAACGUCACAACGUAAAUGGGUGAUUAUAAAGGUGCUCUACAGGUGUCUCCAAAGGUACUUGUUGGGUUGGCGUAUUUCGAGAUUAGGAUUUGUCACUCCGAUUGUCGGAGAGGUAUCUCUGGGCCCACUCGGUAAUGCACAUCACUAUAAGCCUUGCAAGCAUUGUGACUAAUGAGUUAGUUGCGGGAUGAUGUAUUACGGAACGAGUAAAAAGACUUGCCAGUAAGGAGAUUGAACUAGUUAUCGAGAUAACGACGAUCGAAUCUCGGGCAAGUAACAUACCGAUGACAAAGGGAACAACAUAUGUUGUUAUGCGGUCUGACCGAUAAAGAUCUUCGUAGAAUAUGUGGGAGCCAAUAUGGGCAUCCAGGUCCCGCUAUUGGUUAUUGACGGGAGAGGUGUCUCAGUCAUGUCUACAUAGUUCUCGAACCCGAAGGGUCCGCACGCUUAACGUUACGAUGACAGUUUUAUUGAGUUUUGAUGUACCGAAGGAGUUCGGAGUCCCGGAUGAGAUCGGGGAUAUGACGAGGACUCUCGAAAUGGACGAGACGUAAAGAUCGAUAUAUUGGACGACUAUAUUCGGACUUCGGAAAGGUUCCGACUGAUUCGGGUAUUUUUCGGAGUACUGGAGAGUUACGGGAAUUCGUAUUGGGCCUUAAUGGGCCAUACGGGAAAGGAGAGAAAGGCCUCAAAAGGUGGCCGCAUCCCUCCCCAUGGUCUGGUCCGAAUUGGACUAGGGGAGGGGGGCGCACCCUUCCUUCUUUCUCCUUCCCCCUUCCCUACUCCUACUCCCACAAGGAAAGGAGGAGUCCUACUCCCGGUGGGAGUAGGACUCCCCCCCUAUGGCGCGCCUCUCCCCUUGGCCGGCUGCCUCCCCCUUGCUCCUUUAUACGGGGGCAGGGGGGCACCCCAGAGACACAACAAUUGAUCCUUGAGAUCUCUUAGCCGUGUGCGGUGCCCCCCUCCACCAUAUUACACCUCGAUAAUACCGUUGCGGAGCUUAGGCGAAGCCCUGUGCCGGUGGAACAUCAUCAUCGUCACCACGACGUCGUGCUGACGAAACUCUCCCUCAACACUCGGCUGGAUCGGAGUUCGAGGGACGUCAUCGAGCUGAACGUGUGCUGAACUCGAAGGUGCCGUGCGUUCGGUACUUGAUCGGUCGGAUCGUGAAGACGUACGACUACAUCAACCGCGUUGUGUUAACGCUUCCGCUUUCGGUCUACGAGGGUACGUGGACAACACUCUCCCCUCUCGUUGCUAUGCAUCACCAUGAUCUUGCGUGUGCGUAGGAAAUUUUUUGAAAUUACUACGUUUCCCAACAGUGGUAUCAGAGCCUGGUUUUAUGCGUUGAUGCUAUGCACGAGUAGAACACAAGUGAGUUGUGGGCGAUAUAAGUCAUACUGCUUACCAGCAUGUCAUACUUUGGUUCAGCGGUAUUGUGAGAUGAAGCGGCCCGGACCGACAUUACGCGUACGCUUACGCGAGACUGGUUUCACCGUUCGGAGCACUUGUUGCUUAAAGGUGACUGGCGGGUGUCUGUCUCUCUCACUUUAGUUGAACCGAGUGUGGCUACGCCCGGUCCUUGCGAAGGUUAAAACAGCACCAACUUGACAAACUAUCGUUGUGGUUUUGAUGCGUAGGUAAGAACGGUUCUUGCUAAGCCCGUACCAGCCACGUAAAAUAUGCAACAACAAAGUAGAGGACGUCUAACUUGUUUUUGCAGGGCAUGUUGUGAUGUGAUAUGGUCAAGACAUGAUGUGAUAUAAUGUGUUGUAUGAGAUGAUCAUGUUUUGUAACCGAGUUAUCGGCAACUGGCAGGAGCCAUAUGGUUGUCGCUUUAUUGUAUGAGAUGCAAUCGCCAUGUAAUAGUUUUACUUUAUCACUAAACGGUAGCGAUAGUCGUAAACGCAAUAAGAUUGGCGAGACGACAACGAUGCUACGAUGGAGAUCAAGGUGUCGCGCCGGUGACGAUGGUGAUCAUGACGGUGCUUCGGAGAUGGAGAUCACAAGCACGAGAUGAUGAUGGCCAUAUCAUAUCACUUAUAUUGAUUGCAUGUGAUGUUUAUCUUUUAUGCAUCUUAUCUUGCUUUGAUUGACGGUAGCAUUAUAAGAUGAUCUCUCACUAAAUUAUCAAGGUAUAAGUGUUCUCCCUGAGUAUGCACCAUUGCGAAAGUUCUUCGUGCUGAGACACCACGUGAUGAUCGGGUGUGAUAGGCUCUACGUUCAAAUACAACGGGUGCAAAGCAGUUGCACACGCGGAAUACUCAGGUUAAGCUUGACGAGCCUAGCAUAUAACAGCUAUGGCCUCAGAACACGGAGACCGAAAGGUCGAGCGUGAAUCAUAUAGUAGAUAUGAUCAACAUAGUGAUGUUCACCAUUGAAACUACUCCAUCUCACGUGAUGAUCGGACAUGGUUUAGUUGAUAUGGAUCACGUGAUCACUUAGAGGAUUAGAGGGAUGUCUAUCUAAGUGGGAGUUCUUAAGUAAUAUGAUUAAUUGAACUUAAAUUUAUCAUGAACUUAGUCCUGAUAGUAUUUUGCAAAUUUUGUUGUAGAUCAAUAGCUCGUGUUGUUGCUUCCCUGUUUAUUUUUGAUAUGUUCCUAGAGAAAAAUUAUGUUGAAAGAUGUUAGUAGCAAAGAUGCGGAUUGGAUCCGUGAUCUGAGGAUUAUCCUCAUUGCUGCACAGAAAAAUUAUGUCCUUGAUGCACCACUAGGUGACAGACCUAUUGCAGGAGCAGAUGCAGACGUUAUGAACGUUUGGCUAGCUCAAUAUGAUGACUACUUGAUAGUUUAGUGCAACAUGCUUAACGGCUUAGAAUCGGGACUUCAAAGACGUUUUGAACGUCAUGGACCAUAUGAGAUGUUCCAGGAGUUGAAGUUAAUAUUUCAAGCAAAUACCCGAGUUGAGAGAUAUGAAGUCUUCAACAAGUUCUAUAGCUAAAAGAUGGAGGAGAAUCGCUCAACUAGUGAGCAUGUGCUCAGAUUGUCUGGGUACUACAAUCGCUUGAAUCAAGUGGGAGUUUAUCUUCCAGAUAAAAUAGUGAUUGACAGAAUUCUCUAGUCACCAUCACCAAGUUAAUAGGACUUCGUGAUGAACAAUAGUAUGCAAGGGAUGACGAAAGUAAUUCCCGAGCUCUUCGUGAUGCUGAAAUCGAUGAAGGUAGAAAUCAAGAAAAACUUCAAGUGUUGAUGGUUGACGAGACCACUAGUUUCAAGAAAAGGGCAAAGGGAUAGAAGGGGAACUUCAAGAAGAACGGCAAGCAAGUUGCUGCUCAAGUGAAGAAGCCUAAGUCUGGUCCUAAGCCUGAGACUAAGUGCUUCUACUGCAAAGGAACUGGUCACUGGAGGCGGAACUGCCCCAAGUAUUUGGUAGAUAAGAAGGAUGGCAAAGUGAACAAAGGUAUAUUGGAUAUACAUGUUAUUGAUGUGUACUUACUAGUGUUUAUAGCAACCCCUUAGUAUUUGAUACUGGUUCAGUUGCUAAAGAGUAGUAACUCGAAAACGGGAGUUGCAGAAUAAACAGAGACUAGUAAAAGGCGAGGUGACGAUGUGUGUUGGAAGUAGUUCCAAGAUUGAUAUGAUCAUCAUCGCACACUCCCUAUACUUUCGGGAUUAGUGUUGAAACUAAAUAAGUGUUAUUUGGUGUUUGCGUUGAGCAUGAAUAUGAUUUGAUCAUGUUUAUUGCAAUACGGUUAUUCAUUUAAGUUAGAGAACAAUUGUUGUUCUGUUUACAUGAAUAAAAACCUUUUAUGGUCAUACACACCAACGAAAAUGGUUUGUUGGAUCUCGAUCGUAGUGACACACAUAUUCAUAAUAUUGAAGCCAAAAGAUGCAAAGUUAAUAAUGAUAGUGCAACUUAUUUGUGGCACUGCCGUUUAGGUCAUAUUGGUGUAAAGCGCAUGAAGAAACUCCAUACUAAUGGGAUUUUGGAAUCAAUUGAUUAUGAAUCACUUGAUUCUUGCGAACCAUGCCUCAUGGGCAAGAUGACUAAAACGCCGUUCUCCGGAACUAUGGAGAGAGCAACAGAUUUGUUGGAAAUCAUACAUACAGAUGUAUGUGGUCCGAUGAAUAUUGAGGCUCGUAGCAGGUAUUAUUAUUUUCUGACCUUCACAGAUGAGUUGAGCAGAUAUGGGUAUAUCUACUUAAUGAAACAGAAGUCUAAAACAUUUGAAAAGUUCAUAUAAUUUCAGAGUGAAGCGGAAAAUCAUCGUAACAAGAAAAUAAAGUUUCUACGAUCUGAUCGUGGAGAAGAGUAUUUGAGUUACGAGUUUGGCCUUCAGUUAAAACAAUGUGAAAUUGUUUCACUACUCACGCCACCUGGAACACCACAGUGUAAUGGUGUGUCCAAACAUCGUAAUCGUACAUUAUUAGAUAUGGUGCAUUAUAUGAUGUCCCUUACCGAUCUACCACUAUCGUUUUGGGGUUAUGCAUUAGAGACAGCUACAUUCACGUUAAAUAGGGUACCAUCUAAAUCCGUUGAGACGACGUCUUAUGAACUGUGGUUUGGCAAGAAACCAAAGUUGUCGUUUCUUAAAGUUUGGGGCUGCGAUGCUUAUGUGAAGAAACUUCAGCCUGAUAAGCUCGAACCCAAAUCGGAGAAAUGUGUCUUCAUAGGAUACCCAAAGGAGACUGUUGGGUAUACCUUCUAUCACAGAUCCGAAGGCAAAAACUUUUGUUGCUAAAUUCGGAAAUUUUCUAGAGAAGGAGUUUCUCUCGAAAGAAGUGAGUGGGGGGAAAGUAGAACUUGAUGAGGUAACUAUACCUUCUCCCUUAUUGGAAAGUAGUUCAUCACAGAAACCAGUUUCUGAGACACCUACACCAAUUAGUGAGGAAGUUAAUGAUGAUGAUCAUGAAACUUCAGAUCAAGUUAUUACUGAACCUCGUAGAUCAACCAGAGUAAGAUCCGCACCAGAGUGGUACGGUAAUCCUAUUCUGGAAGUUAUGUUACUAGACCAUGACGAACCUACGAACUAUGAAGAAGCGACGGUGAGCCCAGAUUCCGUGAAAUGGCUUGAGGCCAUGAAAUCUGAGAUGGGAUCCAUGUAUGAGAACAAAGUAUGGACUUUGAUUGACUUGCCCAAUGAUCGGCGAGCCAUAAAAAUAAAUGGAUCUUCAAGAGGAAGACGGACGCUGAUAGUAGUGUUACUGUCUACAAAGCUAGAAUUGUCGCAAAAAGGUUUUCGACAAGUUCAAAGUGUUGACUACGAUGAGAGUUUCUCACUUGUAUCUAUGCUUAAGUCUGUCUGAAUCAUGUUAGCAAUUGCCGCAUUUUAUGAAAUAUGGCAAAUGGAUAAACAAAACUGCAUUCCUUAAUGGAUUUAUUAAAGAAGAGUUGUAUAUGAUGCAACCAGGAGGUUUUGUCAAUCCUAAAAGUGCUAACAAAAUAUGCAAGCUCCAGCAAUCCAUCUAUGGACUGGUGCAAGCAUCUCGGAGUUGGAAUAUACACUUUGAUAAGUUGAUCAAAGGAUAUAGUGUUAUACAGACUUGCGAUGAAGCCUGUAUUUACAAGAAAGUGAGUGGGAGCACUAUAGCAUUUCUGAUAAGUAUAUGUGAAUGACAUAUUGUUGAUCGGAAAUAAUGUAGAAUUAUUCUGCAAAGCAUAAAGGAGUGUUUGAAAGAAGUUUUUCAAAGAUAGACCUCGGUAAAGCUGCUUACAUAUUGAGCAUCAAGAUCUAUAGAGAUAGAUCAAGACGCUUGAUAAGUUUUUUUCAAUGAGUACACACCUUAACAAGAUUUUGAAGUAGUUCAAAAUAGAACAGUCAAAGAAAGAGUUCUUGCCUGUGUUACAAGGUGUGAAAUUGAGUAAGACUCAAAGCCCGACCACGGCAGAAGAUAGAAAGAGAAUGAAAGUCAUUCCCUAUGACUUGGUCAUAGGUUCUAUAAAGUAUGCCAUGCUGUGUACCAGAUCUAUUGUAUACCCUACACUGAUUUUGGCAAGGGAGUACAAUAGUGAUCUAGGAGUAGAUCACUGGACAGCGGUCAAAAUUAUCCUUAGUGGAAUAAGGAAAUGUUUCUCCAUUAUGGAAGUGACAAAAGGUUCAUCGUAAAGGGUUACGUCGAUGCAUGUUUUGACACUAAAUCUAGAUGACUCUAAGUCUCGGUCUAGAUACAUAUUGAAAGUGGGAGCAAUUAGCUAGAGUAGCUCCGUGAAGAGCAUUGUAGACAUAGAUAUUUGCAAAAUACUUACGGAUCUGAAUGUGACAGACCCGUUGACUAAAAUUAUCUCACAAUCAAAACAUGAUCACACCUUAGUACUCUGUGGGUGUUAAUCACAAAGCGAUGUGAACUAGAUUAUUGACUCUGGUAAACCCUUUGAGAGUUGGUCACAUAGAGAUGUGAACUAUGGGUGUUAAUCACAUGGUGAUGUGAAUUAUUGAUGUUAAAUCACAUGGCGAUGUGAACUAGAUUAUUGACUUUAGUGCAAGUGGGAGACUGAAGGAAAUAUGCCCUAGAGGCAAUAAUAAAGUAUUAUAUAUUUCCUUAUAUCAUGAUAAAUGUUUAUUAUUCAUGCUAGAAUUGUAUUAACCGGAAACAUAAUACAUGUGUGAAUACAUAGACAAACAGAGUGUCACUAGUAUGCCUCUACUUGACUAGCUCGUUAAUCAAAGAUGGUUAUGUUUCCUAGCCAUAGACAUGAGUUGUCAUUUGAUUAACGAGAUCACCUCAUUAGGAGAAUGACGUGAUUGACUUGAACCAUUCCGUUAGCUUAGCACCCGAUCGUUUAGUAUGUUGCUAUUGCUUUCUUCAUGACUUAUACAUGUUCCUAUGACUAUGAGAUUAUGCAACUCCCGUUUACCGGAGGAACACUUUGUGUGCUACCAAACGUCACAACGUAACUGGGUGAUUAUAAAGGUGCUCUACAGGUGUCUCCAAAGGUACUUGUUGGGUUGGCGUAUUUCGAGAUUAGGAUUUGUCACUCCGAUUGUCGGAGAGGUAUCUCUGGGCCCACUCGGUAAUGCACAUCACUAUAAGCCUUGCAAGCAUUGUGACUAAUGAGUUAGUUGUGGGAUGAUGUAUUACGAAACUAGUAAAGAGACUUGCCAGUAAGGAGAUUGAACUAGGUAUCGAGAUACCGACGAUCGAAUCUCGGGCAAGUACCAUACCGAUGACAAAGGGAACAACGUAUGUUGUUAUGCGGUCUGACCGAUAAAGAUCUUCGUAGAAUAUGUGGGAGCCAAUAUGGGCAUCCAGGUCCCGCUAUUGGUUAUUGACGGGAGAGGUGUCUCGGUCAUGUCUAUAUAGUUCUCGAACCCGAAGGGUCCGCACGCUUAACGUUACGAUGACAGUUUUAUUGAGUUUUGAUGUACCGAAGGAGUUUGGAGUCCCGGAUGAGAUCGGGGAUAUGACGAGGAGUCUCGAAAUGGUUGAGACGUAAAGAUCGAUUUAUUGGGCAACUAUAUUCGGACUUCGGAAAGGUUCCGACUGAUUCGGGUAUUUUUCGGAGUACCGGAGAGUUACGGGAAUUCGUAUUGGGCCUUAAUGGGCCAUACGGGAAAGGAGAGAAAGGCCUCAAAAGGUGGCCGCACCCCUCCCCAUGGUCUGGUCCGAAUUGGACUAGGGAAGGGGGGUGCACCCUUCCUUCUUUCUCCUCCCCCCUUCCCUUCUCCUACUCCCACAAGGAAAGGAGGAGUCCUACUCCCGGUGGGAGUAGGACUCCCCCCUAUGGCGCGCCUCUCCCCUUGGCCGGCUGCCUCCCCCUUGCUCCUUUAUAUACGGGAGCAGAGGGGCACCCCAGAGACACAACAAUUGAUCCUUGAGAUCUCUUAGCCGUGUGCGGUGCCCCCCUCCACCAUAUUACACCUCGAUAAUAUCGUUGCGGAGCUUAGGCGAAGCCCUGCAUCGGUGGAACAUCAUCAUCGUCACCACGCCGUCGUGCUGACGAAACUCUCCCUCAACACUCGGCUGGAUCGGAGUUCGAGGGACGUCAUCGAGCUGAACGUGUGCUGAACUCGGAGGUGCCGUGCGUUCUGUACUUGAUCGGUCGGAUCGUGAAGACGUACGACUACAUCAACCGCGUUGUGUUAACGCUUCCGCUUUCGGUCUACGAGGGUACGUGGACAACACUCUCCCCUCUCGUUGCUAUGCAUCACCAUGAUCUUGCGUGUGCGUAGGAAAUUUUUUGAAAUUACUACGUGCCCCAACACCCUCCCCCUGCACCUGGGACCCACGCGCCAGUGGCCCAGCACCUUGCCACGUGGAUAAGUGGAGGCACGUUUCCCUCUUGGCGCUUUUCUCUUCUGAAAGCGUGUUCCACGAAAUAGGUUUUCCCUUUGAGGAAAGGUACUUUUGUUGUUCUUCGGCUAAAGAUACGUUUGCUUUCGCAGAAGGCGUAAUCUGCCCGAAGGCGCUUUCAGUUUUUGCCUCCAGGGACUUGUUUGUUGAAGUUUUAUUCACAGAUUGGUCCCUGGUGUUCAACACCUCAUAACUC